GGUUGUGUAGUGUAGUGGUUAUCACUCUGGAUUUUGAUUCCAGUAACCCCGGUUCGAACCGCGGGCACGACCU
rnacentral:tRNA from 1 species